UCAUUGUCUUCUAGGAACAAGUUCUGUACCGCAGCAAGUGUUUCUUCUUCCUCUGUCCCAUAAACAACGUCAGCCUGUUGCAAAGUCUGCUCCAAAGGCGGUAUUGGCUAUUCCACUGAAUAGUAAGGACCUUGCCAUGGUGGUGAGCAAUUCUUAAAUUCUUCCCAAGUGUACUCAUAUCUCAGUUCGAAAGUAGUGCCGUGCUUUUUCAGCUUUAUGGGUUUAGCAAUCCCCUGGAGGUUCUUGCCGAGCCCCUUGCCAGGUUUGUACCCACUCUAAU
rnacentral:lncRNA from 1 species